GGAAUUUUGGACAAUGGGCGCAAGCCUGAUCCAGCCAUGCCGCGUGCGGGAAGAAGGCCUUCGGGUUGUAAACCGCUUUUGUCAGGGAAGAAACGCUCUGGGCUAAUACCCCGGGGUAAUGACGGUACCUGCAGAAUAAGCACCGGCUAACUACGUGCCAGCAGCCGCGGUAAUACGUAGGGUGCAAGCGUUAAUCGGAAUUACUGGGCGUAAAGCGUGCGCAGGCGGUCUUGCAAGACAGAUGUGAAAUCCCCGGGCUCAACCUGGGAACUGCAUUUGUGACUGCAAGGCUGGAGUACGGUAGAGGGGGAUGGAAUUCCGCGUGUAGCAGUGAAAUGCGUAGAUAUGCGGAGGAACACCGAUGGCGAAGGCAAUCCCCUGGACCUGUACUGACGCUCAUGCACGAAAGCGUGGGGAGCAAAC
rnacentral:rRNA from 1 species